GUUCAUUUUCCCCCUGGGUAGUGCACGUUUGUAGGGAGUAAGGAUGCCGUUUUAAACCCAGCCGCCGGCGUCGUUCCAUUCAAAAUGGCGUCUGUGGUUGCGCGUGCGGUGGACCGAAGCUCACCUCGGCUUCGAUGUAGCGCCGGCUAGUACCGACUAUCAGCGAUGGUUUCGGGUCACACCGAAUAUUUCCGUUUUCGCGAUAUGGACCAGAUAAUUAGUGAACGGUUUCAUUGAAAGGUUUCCGUAUGUGUGUGUAUAUGGAUAUAAAAUGAUAUCCCGGUGUGGAAACAGAGAAAUAAACCGGUUUAAUCCUCGCAGUCGGAGAGGGGCGAAGCUAAUGUUUUAUAUUUGCACUUCCGGGUUCGGACCGUGAUGGAGAUGGACCGAGAGGACGGUACCGAGUUCGUCCUGUCUUUCGCCGUGGAUGUCAAUGAAAACCGAGCUGAAGGAUGUAAAACACACACACACCAACCUUUGGACCAGACUGGGUGUGUUCACAGGAACAGUGUGUUUAUUGCAGGUCCAAAAUAUACUGUGAACUCUGGAGAAAACCGGGUCACUUCUGAGGAGAUAAAUGGGUUUCCAGAACCUGAUGGUGUGAUUGAACUGAAUCUGGAACCAAAGGAUGGAGACUUGAAACCAGACACAUCUGGACACAUCGGGACCCCAGAUGGAGAAACGGGAUGUUUUGGAGAAAUCAAUCCCGACUUGAAUCCAAACAGAACUCUUGAUUGUUCCGGUGCUCACCUGACGGCGUCGGGACUCAUAAACUCAGUAAAUGGAGAAGUGGAUUUUUGUGGAUUCCAUGCCAGCCCAGUCGUAAGUAAAGGAACAGCAGGUGUUGGGGGAAACAUUGGCAGUCUGAUCACAUCUGGAGAAACAUCAGAUACUAGAGGAACCCGCUCCAGCUGGUUUAUAUCUGGUGAAACAGUGAGCGGUCAUGGAAGCGACGGUCGUCCGACUGCAUCUGGACACGUAAACACAUCAGAUGUUUGGGAAUUCCAUGCCAGUACACUUGUGAUUGGAGAAUCCAGUGGCAAUCAGACCACAUCUGAAGAAACAUCAGGUGCUAGAGGAACCAACAUAAGCUGGGCUGUAACUGGAGAAGCAGCUAGCGUUGCUGAAACUAACGGCAAUCCGACUGCGUCUAGAACCACGUACACGUCGGAUGGAGGAGAUGAAGAUAUUUGGGAAUUUCAUGGUAAUCAGGCAACAUCUGGAGAAAUAAUGGCAACCCGAUGGACCCGUGUCAGCCCAGAUGCUUUAGUAGAAACAUCAGGCACCAGGGGAUCCAAUGCUGUAGCUCGAACAACAGUAAGUAUUAGAGGAACCGAUGCUAUUCCUACCACAUCUGGACCUUGUGCCAACAUGAGUACAUGUGAAGAAACGAUCAACAACUCGAGAACCUGUAUUCGCCUGAUUGUAGCUGGAGAAAUGAUGGAUAUUGGAGGAACCACUGGCGAUUUGACAGCGUCUGGGGAAAGAGAUGGUACCAGGUGUACCCAGGUCAGCUCGGUUGUUGAAGAAGAAACCUCACAGACUCGGGAAACCAACGCUAGCCCAAGGGUAGCUAAUGAAAUGGUGGAUAUUGGAGGAACCAGUGCUAGUUUGUCCACAUGUAGAGAAACAGCAGGUACAAGGAGAACCAGUGCCGGCCCAAUUGUUACAGCAGAAGACAUGUUAGGAACCUGUGAAAACAACACCAGUUUGAGUGUAGCUGGAGAAACCGUGAGUAUUGGAGGAAAUCAUGCCAAUCUAACCACAUCUGGAGAAACAGCAGAUACCAAGAGAACCCAUCCUGGCCCAUUUGUAGCUGGAAUUGUUGGCAGCCUGAUUCCAUUAGAUGUCACAACAGCAGCUACUGUAACUGGAGAACCCGUGAGCAUGAGGGAAACUGGUGUGAGCCAAGUAGCAGCUGGACCCAUCGACACAGUGCCACUUGUGGAUGGAGUGUUACCUCAGGAUCAGGUUUCUGGGAAUUCCCAGCUGGGAAAUGAUGCGACGAAAACCAAGUUUGCCAUCUGGGAAAAUCCAUACUGUCAAGCAAGUCCAAGGGUGUGUGUCGGGAAGCGUCCGAGUGCCUGUUGUACGGGAUUGGAGAUGAAAAUACCCAACGGAGACGUGAACUCUGGAGAAUUACAGAUGGACAAAAUUGAGUGUGAAGGAACGUUUACAAACGAAGCUCUCGACAAAGGUGUCAGGGUGGGAAAUUGCGGAUAUUUAGUUAUAAACCGGAGAACCAUGUCGGGAACCUCCUCCAUCCCCAUUUAUUCCCUCAGGGAACCUUGGAACGCCGCAGAGCGGAAACAGGAAGUGAGGAGAAUCUCAGAUCUUGGACCAGAAACCAACCCAAAGCUUUCUAUAGCUAACGUUAAUGAAGACGGGAGCAACCAUGAGAUCGAAACUCGACCAGAGUACGAUGUGGACUUUCGCGACGGUGUCGCUGUGACGAGACCGCGGACUCUGAGGACUAAUCCCGGGCAGGCGGUGUCACUCAGCUGUGACUCCACCCCCCUGAACGACGAUAACGCCGGUUAUUUCGUAGACGAUGGAGACAUGGACGUUAUUAUGAACAGCUUGGAGGUCGGCCGUCGACAGAGUGCUCCUGAUAAACUUCAGGAGGGCGUCGAUCCUGAACCAUCAGCCGAGCGGACGGCGAACAAGAGGCACAGUUUCGCCGAUUUCCUAACGAGAAGUCUGUUCUCCUGGAAGCCCAGAGAGACGAAGGCCACGGCACCUGCUUCAGGAUGGAGAUUAUUCGGGAAAAUUUCUCCCAAGGAAAACGACACAAAAGACUCCAGAAUCCCACAGCAGGUAAGGAAGAGCAGGGACCCGAGCUCGCUGGCGCGGAGAGGGACGACAGGAUGACGUCAUUUGUCAAGUUGAAGUUAAGGUGGUGUUCCCUCGUGCAGUUUGAGAUGUCAGACAGGCAGGCAGAGAUCCGGGCUGAGAUGGAUGGAUCAUCAGGCUGGAAGGAAGAAUAGGGCUGAAUGUCAUCAGCACAGCAAUGAGACUCAAUCACAG
ensembl:lncRNA